UUGGAUGGCUUAACUAGUAGAGCUCUUGGCGCGUAACCAAACGAUCUGGGUUCGAUUCCCAGAUUCAAA
rnacentral:tRNA from 1 species